CGUGCAGUGGAGGAUGGCGCAUGUCUCAGGGUCAGCAGUACCUCACGCCGGCGUUCGACACGUCGAUGCGCGGC
rnacentral:tRNA from 1 species